rnacentral:rRNA from 1 species
UCUGGUGAUUUAACGCGGUGGAACCACCUUUUCCCAUUCCGAACAGAGAAGUUAAACGCCGUAGUGCCGAUGAUAGUCCCUUCGGGGCGAAAGUAGGUAGUCGCCGGAA